rnacentral:lncRNA from 1 species
CAGGAUUUGAAAUGAUAAAAUUUUAGGUGUAAUCAUGCACUGUUUUUCAUGUUUAUAUUUUAGUUUAUAUACAGUAAUAUUUAGUUACUCAAAUGUUUACACAUCUUACAAAACAUUUGCUUUUUGAAUAAAAUGAAAAACAAAUGUUUUCAUAGGAUACUAAACUUUUUGGUGUGGCCUUUAACUUUUCUCCAUCUCCAUUGUCUCGUCUGCAAAUAUCAGAUUUUGCAAAUGUUUCAAUGCCCAAAUAAGUGCAAGUGUGAUGGUGCCAAAUCCAUACUGUGUGGUGGAUAUUUCAACAUGUUAUAUUUCAGAGCAUGUAGUGUGUCCACUGUGUACAGUAAUGAGGCAGGCAUUGUUAUGAAGCAAUAAUACUCCUUUUUGAGAGGGGGUCCUAGUGUUUUGAUCGUAUCUCAAGCUUCAACGUGUUCACUAGCUUGCCGCUAUAUCAAGCACUAGUCAGUUUGACUACUUUUUUUAAAGUGCACUACUCCAGUUUCGUCAAUGAUUUUAUCUUCUAUUUUUAAAUAUUUCCACCCAUUCAUACUCACUCUCUCCUGACUGUCUCCAUACUGAAUCACCAUUCGUCUGUAGAUUUUGGAUUUCACAUCCUUUGACCACAAAAACCAAAUGUUUCAUUGCUCUUCCACAGU